rnacentral:siRNA from 1 species
CUGGUAGGUUGUCUGAAAUCA